UGAGCGAGUUGGCUGCAAGUUC
rnacentral:miRNA from 1 species